rnacentral:misc_RNA from 1 species
AAAUGCGAUAAGUAGUGUGAAUUGCAGAAUUCAGUGAAUCAUCGAAUCUUUGAACGCACAUUGCGCCCUUUGGUAUUCCUUAGGGCAUGCCUGUUCGAGCGUCAUCUAAACCUUCAAGCCCUGCUUGGUGUUGGGUGCCUGUCCCGCCUCCGCGCGCGGACUCACCUCAAAUCCAUUGGCGGCCCCCGCGUCGGCCACGAGCGCAGCAGAAACGCGAACUCGUGAGCCCGUCCGAGCGGCUCCCAGAAGCUACACCCACCCAGUUUGACCUCGGAUCAGGUAGGGAUACCCGCUGAACUUAAGC